rnacentral:rRNA from 1 species
AGCAGCCGCGGUAAUUCCAGCUCCAAUAGCGUAUAUUAAAGUUGUUGCAGUUAAAAAGCUCGUAGUUGAAUUUCGGGAUUAGUGCGCUGGUCAUGCCUUUGGUAUGUACUGGUGUUACUGGUUUCUACCUUCUGAAGAACCGUUAUGUCAUUCAUUUGGUGUGGCGGGGAAUCAGGACUGUUACUUUGAAAAAUUAGAGUGUUUAAAGCAGGCUCGCGCUUGAAUACAUUAGCAUGGAAUAAUGAAAUAGGACGUUUGACCCUAUUUUGUUGGUUUCUAGGAUCGACGUAAUGAUUAAUAGGGAUAGUUGGGGGCAUUAGUAUUCAAUUGUCAGAGGUGAAAUUCUUGGAUUUAUUGAAGACUAACUACUGCGAAAGCAUUUGCCAAGGAUGUUUUCAUUAAUCAAGAACGAAAGUUAGGGGAUCGAAGACGAUCAGAUACCGUCGUAGUCUUAACCAUAAACUAUGCCGACUAGGGAUCGGAUGAUGUUAUUUUAAUGACUCAUUCGGCGCCUUAAC